rnacentral:lncRNA from 1 species
UGAGAUUAAAUCCACCAUUUAUCACACUUUUAAACAAAAUAACUCAAACCCUAAUUCAUUUUUCACAAAAAUAGCCGCACCCUCAUCUCCUUCUCUUCUUCCUCUUCAUCUCUUUCUCUCUAUCAACGACGACGGAACCCCAGCGCCGCCAACCGUCGAUGGAACCCCAGUGCCGCCAGCCGUCACUGCUCCAGCUUCCUCCGUUAAGACGCCGCCAACCGUCGCUGCUCUAGCCGGCAGCCAUCUUUACUAACGCCGACAACACCACCAGCCGGUGAAACAACCGUCCCCAGCCAGCCGGCAACCUCCGUUUAGAGGUAAACUCCAUUAACUCUGUUAAGAUUAACAUACAAACUAUCGAGAUAUUGAGCUAGUGCUGGUGCGAGGAGGGGGGCAAUGGAGUUGCUCUACUAUGUUGUGUUUGGUGCGAUGGCUGUUAUGGUGGCAGUUCUUGAGCUGGGUGGCAAGACUAACAAAGAUCGGAUAACAACUUCACAGGCUUUUAAUUCCUUUAAGAACAAUUACAUUCUUGUUUACUCUCUUAUGAUGGGUACGUAUGUUUCUCCUAUCAGAUCUGGGUUUUUUUACAUUUUGAAAUUCUGGUGUGUAUGUGCUCAAUCUGAUUAUUUGAGUGUGGGAUUUUAGAUCUGAUUAAUUGGGUAUUACAAGUUUGCUCUAUAUUAGUGGUCAGGUUGUGGUAUAAAUGAAAUCUAGCUUUAGAUCCUAACUCAUUUUAUGUUAUCUGAAUGCUGAAUAAGAUUCCAAGUGUUGAUAUGCAGCUCAAUUUGUUUAAUGGUCUUUAGAUCUAUCUGUGCACCACUAUAUGAGAAUACACUGGGUUUGUUGUUGUUGUUGCUGCUGUUGUAUUUCAUUUAGAGUUCUCCAAUACUAUCUGUAUUCCUUGUGCUGUAUCUUUCUAAAUUGUGGCAUCAAGACCAAAAUUUAGUUUCUUUACUUUACUAAAAGAUAAGGUUGAUCUUGCUUAAGGAUUUUAGAAUAUCUAUACCUUGAGUAUGAAUAAACUUGUACAAUGUGCUCAAAGUUCAGUUAUGUUGUAGACAUGCAGUAACUUGAAAAUGGAAUUGUGUAUCUUUUAAUUUGCUAAGCUCAUUAUUUUUGAAGGUGAUGUUGUUGGUUACUUUUGUUUAGAAGGUGAUGUUGUUGGUUACUUUAUUUGUUGAAAAUGCUUAAGUGCCGGUGACUUUAAUAGUGAAUUAGUGUUUAGAAGGCGAUGAUGUUGGUGACUUUAUUUGUUUAAAAUGCUUAAGUUUUGGUGACGUUAAUAGUGAAUUAGUUUUGUUGGUGCCUUUGUUAGUUGAAAAAGCUUAAGUUUUGAUGACUUUAAUAGUGAACUAGUAUUUAGGAGGUGAUGUUGUUGGUGACUUUAUUUGUUAAAAAUGUUUAAGUGCCGGUGACUUUAAUAAUGAACUUUUGUUUAGAAGGUGAUGUUGUUGGUUACUUUAUUUGUUGAAAAUGCUUAAGUGUCGGUGAAUUUAAUAGUGAACUUUUUUUGUUAGUGCCUUUGUUAGUUGAAAAAGCUUAAGUUUUGGUGACUUUAAUAUUGAACUAGUGUUUAGAAGGUGAUGUUGUUGGUGACUUUAUUUGUUGAAAAUGCUAAGUUUCGGUGACUUUAAUAGUGAAUUAGUGUUUAGGAGGUGAUGUGGUUGGUGACUUUAUUAGUUGAAAAUGCUUAAGUUUUGGUCACUUUAAAAAAUAACUUUUGUUUAGAAGGCGAUGUUGUUGGUUACUUUAUUUGUUAAAAAUGCUUAAGUGCCGGUCACUUUAAAAGUGAACUUUUAUUUAGAAGGGGAUGUUGUUGCUUACUUUAUUUGUUGAAAAUGCUUAAGUGCCGGUGACUUUAAUAGUGAAUUAAUUUCGUUGGUGCCUUUGUUAGUUGAAAAAGCUUAAGUUUUGGUGACUUUAAUAGAGAACUAGUGUUUAGAAGGUGAUGUUGUUGGUGACUUUAUUUGUUGAAAAUGCUUAAGUUUUGGUGACUUUAAUAGUGAAUUAGUUUCGUUGGUGCCUUUGUAAGUUGAAAAAACUUAAGUUUUGGUGACUUUAAUAGUGAACUAGUGUUUAGGAGGUGAUGUUGUUGGUGACUUUAUUUGUUGAAAAUGCUUAAGUGCCAGUGACUUUAAUAGUGAACUUUUUGUUUAGAAGGUGAAGCUGUUGGUUACUUUAUUUGUUGAAAAUGCUUAAGUGCCAGUGACUUUAAAAGUGAACUUUUGUUUAGAAGGUGAAGCUGUUGGUUACUUUAUUUGUUGAAAAUGCUUAAGGUUUGGUGACUUUAAAAGUGAACUUUUGUUUAGAAGGUGAAGCUGUUGGUUACUUUAUUUGUUGAAAAUGCUUAAGUUUUGGUGACUUUAAUAGUGAACUAGUGUUUAGAAGGUUAUAUUGUUGGUUACUUUAUUUGUUGAAAAUGCUUAAGUUAUGGUGACUUUAAUAGUGAGUUGGUGUUUAGGAGGUGAUGUGGUUGGUUAUUUUAUUAGUUGAAAAUGCUUAAGUUUUGGUGACUUUAAAAGUGAACUUUUGUUUAGAAGGUGAUAUUCUUGGUUACUUUAUUUGUUGAAAAUGCUUAAGUGCCGGUGACUUUAAUAGUGAAUUAGUGUUUAGGAGGUGAUGUGGUUGGUUAUUUUAUUAGUUGAAAAUGCUUAAGUUUUGGUGACUUUAAUAGUGAACUAGACUUUAGAAGGUGAUGUUGUUGGUGACUUUAUUUGUUGAAAAUGCUUAAGUGCCGGUGACUUUAAUAGUGAAUUAGUGUUUAGGAGGUGAUGUGGUUGGUUAUUUUAUUAGUUGAAAAUGCUUAAGUUUUGGUGACUUUAAUAGUGAACUAGACUUUAGAAGGUGAUGUUGUUGGUGACUUUAUUUGUUGAAAAUGCUUAAGUGCCGGUGACUUUAAUAGUGAAUUAGUGUUUAGGAGGUGAUGUGGUUGGUUAUUUUAUUAGUUGAAAAUGCUUAAGUUUUGGUGACUUUAAUAGUGAACUAGACUUUAGAAGGUGAUGUUGUUGGUGACUUUAUUUGUUGAAAAUGCUUAAGUGCCGGUGACUUUAAUAGUGAAUUAGUGUUUAGGAGGUGAUGUGGUUGGUUAUUUUAUUAGUUGAAAAUGCUUAAGUUUUGGUGACUUUAAUAGUGAACUAGACUUUAGAAGGUGAUGUUGUUGGUGACUUUAUUUGUUGAAAAUGCUUAAGUGCCGGUGACUUUAAUAGUGAAUUAGUGUUUAGGAGGUGAUGUGGUUGGUUAUUUUAUUAGUUGAAAAUGCUUAAGUUUUGGUGACUUUAAUAGUGAACUAGACUUUAGAAGGUGAUGUUGUUGGUGACUUUAUUUGUUGAAAAUGCUUAAGUGCCAGUGACUUUAAUAGUAAAUUAGUGUUUAGAAGGUGAUGUUGUAGGUGAUUUUAUUUGUUGAAAAUGCUUAAGUUUUGGUGACUUUAAUAGUGAAUUAGUUUCGUUGGUGCCUUUGUUUGGUGAAAAAGCUUAAGUUUUGGUGACUUUAUUAGUGAACUAGUGUUUAGGAAGUGAUGUUGUUGGUGACUUUUUUAGUUGAAAAUGUUUAAGUGCCGAUGACUUUAAUAGUGAACUUUGCUUUAGAAGGUGAUGUUGUUGGUUACUUUAUUUGUUGAAAAUGCUUAAGUGCAAGUGACUUUAAUAGUGAAUUAGUUUCGUUGGUGCCUUUGUAAGUUGAAAAAGUUUUAGUUUUGGUGACUUUAAUAGUGAACUAGUGUUUAGAAGGUGAUGUUGUUGGUGACUUUAUUUGCUGAAAAUGCUUAUGUGUUGGUGACUUUAAUAGUGAAUUAGUGUUUAGGAGGUGAUGGUGACUUUAAUAGUGAAUUAGUGUUUAGGAGGUGAUGUGGUUAGUGACUUUAUUAGUUGAAAAUGCUUAAGUUUUUGUGACUUUAAAAGUGAACUUUUGCUUAGAAGGUGAUGUUGUUGAUUACUUUAUUUGUUGAAAAUGCUUAAGUGCCGGUUACUUUAAUUGUGAAUUAGUUUCGUUGGUGCCUUUGUUCGUUGAAAAAGCUUAAGUUUUGGUGACUUUAAUAGUGAACUAGUGUUUAGAAGGUGCUAUUGUUGGUGACUUUAUUUGUUGAAAUUGCUUAAGUUUUGUGGACUUUAAAAGUGAACUUUUGUUUAGAAGGUGAUGUGGUUGAUGACUUUAUUAGUUGAAAAUGCUAAAGUUUUGGUGACUUUAAAAGUGAACUUUUGUUUAGAAGGUGAUGUGGUUGAUGACUUUAUUAGUUGAAAAUGCUAAAGUUUUGGUGACUUUAAAAGUGAACUUUUGUUUAGAAGGUGAUGUGGUUGAUGACUUUAUUAGUUGAAAAUGCUAAAGUUUUGGUGACUUUAAAAGUGAACUUUUGUUUAGAAGGUGAUGUGGUUGAUGACUUUAUUAGUUGAAAAUGCUAAAGUUUUGGUGACUUUAAAAGUGAACUUUUGUUUAGAAGGUGAUGUGGUUGAUGACUUUAUUAGUUGAAAAUGCUAAAGUUUUGGUGACUUUAAAAGUGAACUUUUGUUUAGAAGGUGAUGUGGUUGAUGACUUUAUUAGUUGAAAAUGCUAAAGUUUUGGUGACUUUAAAAGUGAACUUUUGUUUAGAAGGUGAUGUGGUUGAUGACUUUAUUAGUUGAAAAUGCUAAAGUUUUGGUGACUUUAAAAGUGAACUUUUGUUUAGAAGGUGAUGUUGUUGGUGACUUUAUUUGUUGAAAAUGCUUAAAUUUUGGUGACUUUAAUAGUGAAUGUUUUUAGGAGGUGAUGUGGUUGAUGACUUUAUUAGUUGAAAAUGCUAAAGUUUUGGUGACUUUAAAAGUGAAUUUUUGUUUAGAAGGUGAUGUUGUUGGUUACUUUGUUUGUUGAAAAUGCUUAAGUGCCGGUGACUUUAAUAGUGAACUUUUGUUUAGAAGGUGAUGUUGUUGGUUACUUAAUUUGUUGAAAAUGCUUAAGUGUUGGUGACUUUAAAAGUGAACUUUUGUUUAGAAGGUGAUGUUUUUGGUUACUUUAUUUGUUGAAAAUGCUUAAGUACCAGUGACUUUAAUAGUAAAUUAGUGUUUAGAAGCUGAUGUUGUAGGUGAUUUUAUUUGUUGAAAAUGCUUAAGUUUUGGUGGCUUUAAUAGUGAAUUAGUUUCGUUGUUGCCUUUGUUUGUUGAAAAAGCUUAAGUUUUGGUGACUUUAAUAGUGAACUAGUGUUUAGGAGGUGAUGUUGUUGGUNNNNNNNNNNNNNNNNNNNNNNNNNNNNNNNNNNNNNNNNNNNNNNNNNNNNNNNNNNNNNNNNNNNNNNNNNNNNNNNNNNNNNNNNNNNNNNNNNNNNNNNNNNNNNNNNNNNNNNNNNNNNNNNNNNNNNNNNNNNNNNNNNNNNNNNNNAAAAUGCUUAAGUGCCGGUGACUUUAAAAGUGAACUUUUGUUUAGAAGGUGAUGUUGUUGGUUACUUUAUUUGUUGAAAAUGCUUAAGUGCCGGUGACUUUAAAAGUGAACUUUUGUUUAGAAGGUGAUGUUGUUGGUUACUUUAUUUGUUGAAAAUGCUUAAGUGCAAGUGACUUUAAUAGGGAAUUAUUUUCGUUGGUGCCUUUGUAAGUUGAAAACGUUUUAGUUUUGGUGACUUUAAUAGUGAACUAGUGUUUAGAAGGUGAUGUUGUUGGUGACUUUAUUUGCUGAAAAUGCUUAUGUGUUGGUGACUUUAAUAGUGAAUUAGUGUUUAAGAGGUGAUGUGGUUAGUGACUUUAUUAGUUGAAAAUGCUUAAGUUUUGGUGACUUUAAAAGUGAACUUUUGUUGAGAAGGUGAUGUUGUUGAUUACUUUAUUUGUUGAAAAUUCUUGAGUGCCGGUUACUUUAAUUGUGAAUUAGUUUCGUUGGUGCCUUUGUUAGUUGAAAAAGCUUAAGUUUUGGUGACUUUAAUAGUGAACUAGUGUUUAGAAGGUGCUGUUGUUGGUGACUUUAUUUGUUCAAAAUGCUUAAGUUUUGGUGACUUUAAUAGUGAAUUAGUGUUUAGGAGGUGAUGUGGUUGGUGACUUUAUUAGUUGAAAAUGCUUAAGUUUUGGUGACUUUAAAAGUAAACUUUUGUUUAGAAGGUGAUGUUGUUGGUUACUUUAUUUGUUGAAAAUGCUUAAGUGCCGGUGACUUUAAAAGUGAACUUUUGUUUAGAAGAUGAUGUUGUUGGUUACUUUAUUUGUUGAAAAUGCUUAAGUGCCGGUGACUUUAAUAGUGAUUUUGUGUUUAGAAGGUGAUGUUGUUGGUUACUUUAUUUGUUGAAAAUGUUUAAGUUUUUGUGACUUUAAUUGCAAAUUAGUUUCGUUGGUGCCUUUGUUAGUUGAAGAAGCUUAAGUUUUGACGACUUUAAUAGUGAACUAGUGUUUAGGAGGUGAUGUUGUUGGUGACUUUAUUUGUUGAAAAUGCUUAAGUGCCGGUGACUUUAAUAGUGAACUUUUGUUAAGAAGGUGAUGUUGUUGAUUACUUUAUUUGUUGAAAAUGCUUUAGUGCCAGUGACUUUAAUAGUGAACUUUUUUCGUUGGUGCCUUUGUUAGUUGAAAAAUCUUAAAUUUUGGUGACUUUGAUAGUGAACUAGUGUUUAGAAGGUGAUGUUGUUGGUAACUUUAUUUGUUGAAAAUGCUUAAGGUUUGGUGACUUUAAUAGUGAAUUCGUGUUUAGGAUGUGAUGUGGUUGGUGACUUUAUUAGUUGAAAAUGCUUAAGUUUUGGUGACUUUAAAAGUGAACUUUUGUUUAGAAGGUGAUGUUGUUGGUUACUUUAUUUGUUGAAAAUGUUUAAGUGCCGGUGACUUUAAUGGUGAAUUAGUUUAGUUGGCGCCUUUAUUAGUUUAAACAGCUUAAGUUUUGGUGACUUUAAUAGUGAACUAGUGUUUAGAAGAUGAUGUUGUUGGUGACUAUAUUUGUUGAAAAGUCUUAAGUUUUGGUGACUUUAAUAGUGAAUUAGUGUUUAGGAGGUGAUGUGGUUGGUAACUUUAUUUGUUGAAAAUGUUUAAGUGUUGGUGACUUUAAAAGUGAACUUUUGUUCAGAAGGUGAUGUUGUUGGUUACUUUAUUUGUUUAAAAUGCUUAAGUGCCGGUGACUUUAAUGGUGAAUUAUUUUCGUUGGUGCCUUUGUUAGUUGAAAAAUCUUAAGUUUUGGUGACUUUAAUAGUGAACUAGUGUUUAGGAGGUGAUGUGGUUGGUGACUUUAUUAGUUGAAAAUGUUUUAAGUUUUGAUGACUUUAAAAGUGAACUUUUGUUUAGAAGGUGAUGUUGUUGGUUACUUUAUUUGUUGAAAAUGUUUAAGUGCCGGUGACUUUAAUAGUGAAUUAGUUUCGUUGGUGUAACGUCCCGAGAAUCUAUCCCGAGACAUCACAUGGUGCCCAAGGCCACACUUGGCCUCAAGCUAACCCUCUAAACCUGUCAUCACCUUCUGAACUCUCUACGACAAUAAUCAUCAUAAAGUAGGGAAGAAUAAUUAUGGCAUGAACAUACUGAGAUACAAAGUAAUACGGUUCUGUACAAAUAAAAUACUGAAAUCUCUCUACAUGCUGGCACACUAGUCUGACAAAGCUUCUACUUCAUAGGACGGAGGAGCCAUUGGAAUAGAUCCUCAACUGACUCGUACUGAACUGAAAGUAAACAACCAUCUAUUAACAAGACAAAAUCGGAGACACAGGUCCUCGAACCAUGAGGACUCACCUACCGCAGAAAUAUAGAUGAAGGUACUCAAAAGAUCACUGUCGCUGCUGAGAUUGAGCACCUGAACCUAUAUCAUGAGGAAAUAUAGAAUACAAAAGAGUAUAAGAGUCGGGGUGUGGAUGCAAUAUUUUAAAUAAUAUCAUAAAUGUAUAAGAAAAUCAUGCAUGCUGACAAUAAUAACUCUUUUCGCUUGAAUUAUCUAAAACAUCAUUUUCGUAAGUCAUCAAUAAUAACAUAUGCUUCAUAAAUCUCAUAAAUCAUUUAACUCAACUCAAACUCUUUGAAUCAUGACUUAGAGUGACUCGAGAACCCCACAUUGGCGGGGGUGGUGUACUCUUUCCAGGGAGUACAACCUCAAUCUCAUUAUCACAAUCCCAUACUCGGCCUCUGGCCCACAAUUAUCAACAUCAAUCCUACGGUGGCACGUAGUUUUGGAGAAAUACCACAUUUUCGCCCGGUGCUAAAUACUCCUCCCAGACUCAGCUCAGAACGCGUUAGAAAAUCCACCUUAAUCAAUAUCAACUCAUGAGUCUAUUUUAAAGACAAAAACAUAAAUAUAUAUUUCAUCUGUAAAUCAUAAACAUCUUGUGGAUUCCUAACCCGACUCAACUCAACACAAUCUUUCUCAACAUCAAGUAAAUAUGCUUUUCGAAUCAUUUUCAAAUAUCAAAAGCCUCAAGGGAACAUCAUACGACUCAUUAUUGACUUUCAAUCUCAAAUAUCGAUAUAUAUUAAAUAGUCAAAUUUCUCAUGGAAAGGCAUAACUCAUGACACUUGUCUUAAAUCACUUAGAAAUCAUCAAUACAUAAUGACAAUAUACAACUCAUGGAAUAAAUUCUCUAUUUAAGAAACAAGAUGGAGAGAUAAUCAUAAAUAUGAAACUUAUUCAACUCAAAUCUCAUAAAUCCUAAAUAAAGAAAUUUGGGUGUAAACCCACUUGCAAAAUCAUGUAAAUCAAUAAUAGAAAGUAAAUCUUUAUGCACAAGAACGAAAGGAGUGUUCUUGUUCAAACCCCACAUACCUUGGAUUAUAAUUUUGGAGAUGUAGAAACUCGUUUGGAACUUUUUUCUCACACUUUUAGACCAAUAUUCUUGAUGCCCUUGAUUUGGGCAAGUUAGUUCUCGAACAACUUGGAGAAAUUUAUGGAAGAUCCUUGAAUUUCUUGGAAGAAGAUUGAAUUUUUGGGUUUUUGAAGAAACCCUAAUUUCUAGAUAUUUCUUGAAAGAGUAAAGGAGGAAAAAUGAAUGGCUAUUCU